AGUGAACGCUGGCGGUAGGCCUAACACAUGCAAGUCGAACGGCAGCACAGUAAGAGCUUGCUCUUACGGGUGGCGAGUGGCGGACGGGUGAGGAAUACAUCGGAAUCUACUUUUUCGUGGGGGAUAACGUAGGGAAACUUACGCUAAUACCGCAUACGACCUACGGGUUAAAGCAUGGUAUCUUCGGACCUUGCGCGAUUGAAUGAGCCGAUGUCGGAUUAGCUAGUUGGCGGGGUAAAGGCCCACCAAGGCGACGAUCCGUAGCUGGUCUGAGAGGAUGAUCAGCCACACUGGAACUGAGACACGGUCCAGACUCCUACGGGAGGCAGCAGUGGGGAAUAUUGGACAAUGGGCGAAAGCCUGAUCCAGCAAUACCGCGUGGGUGAAGAAGGCCUUCGGGUUGUAAAGCCCUUUUGUUGGGAAAGAAAAGCAGAAGGUUAAUACCCCGCUGUUCUGACGGUACCCAAAGAAUAAGCAACGGCUAACUUCGUG
rnacentral:rRNA from 1 species